GCCUGAUUGUCCUCUCCUUUCCUUACCUUCAGCACCAAGAAGUUUCCGGUCCCGGUACAGAUCAGUGAGGAAGAGGCUAUUGACAAGUGUGGAUUUGCCCAGGCCAGACUCUCCUGAGAGGAGAGAGGACAGAGGCACCAAAUCAGAAGGGACCCUUCUCUGGGCUGUCUGAUAGUCUGCAGAGACACAGCUGCUUCCGUGCUCUAGGAGAGAGGGACUCCUUGGAGAUCUGAUCUCACUAGUAGUCGUAAUUCUUUGGAUGGGCUCAGUUUGUACUGCUUCAUCCUUUGGGUAAGACAAAAUCCUACGGGGAACUCUGACUCCUUGGGGGUUCUGGACCUUGGAUGGUGGGUCAUCUUCUAAGAUUUGUGAUUGUAAGUUAUUCUUCUGGUCUUGAAAACUCAACUGAUGAGUAGAUUUGGCAUCUGGGAUUGAUGAAGCAUGAUGGCCGACCUCGCGCCCUGACUUGCUCUCACUGCCUCUUCGUGCUGCUUCCUCUCUGGGUGGACUAACUUUCCAUUGUCUGCUUGAAGCAUGGGAAGCCAGUGUCUGAGUCUUCUGGCUCUUUAGAUGGGGAGAGGAAUGGCGGGAUGAUUCUGUUCUUGGUCCAGUCUCGGGUCCCCGAGGAGUGGGUACUGCAUAGUGUCCAGGUCCUGACUGGAGGGAGACAGAUCGAGGGUAGUCUGAUGCUGAAUGGGGAGUGGUGGGAUGUGCAGCUUCUGAUCUUCGGUGGGAAGGGUUCAGGGAGACUGCAGCACUUCGAUGGCUUGAGGCAAGAACGUACCCAUGUCCCUGCUGAGGGGAUGUGUUAGUAGUAACCUCAGACCCUCUCUGUGCUGAAACCGCUACCUUGGCCCCAGGUUUAUUUGUCUUGACCAUCUGAUAGAUUGUGCCCUUCUGAGUAGAUCCCGUAUUUUACUGGCUGGCUUGUAUUCAGGAUCCUAAUGAUGCCUGAAUAUUUACCCUGUUUUAAAGCUGCUGUUUCUUGGGCUCCCACAAA
ensembl:lncRNA SEPTIN4-AS1 SEPTIN4 antisense RNA 1